AAUUCUGAGGGGACAUGAUAGCUGCCUGGGUGGGUGUCCCCUUCCUCCCUCACCACUCCAUGUGCAUCCCUCCCGAAGCUGCACGCUUGGUCGAAGACAACGGCCUUCCCCGAAUAGAGACAGACCAGUCUUUGGUCGAGGGUAUAAGAGUAGCUGCGCUCCCCUGCUCGUACCUCCAAACAAGCUCAUAUUAUACAUCAAAUGUAAAUUAUAAAUAAACACAUCACACUUUUUUUCCCAUGAAAGAUGAGAAGAUG
rnacentral:snRNA from 1 species